AGAUAUCGUCAUCCUUACUUUCAACUCAUUCACAUGACAUCUUUCUUAACCCUAAUCCUUAUGCCCCCUUCUCUCUCAUCCUCUGUUUCGCCCCCUUCUCUCUUCCUCUGUUUCUCCCACCCCCCCCCCCCCCCCCCUUCAAGAUCUCAAAUUCUCUCCUUCUUUGAGAUGGAUUUCUUCAAUCAAUUCAUGUAGUAGUGAUGCAGAUCGAGACCUAAUUGAUGUGUUUCGCCCCCUUCUCUCUUCCUCUGUUUCUCCCCACCAUUCAAGAUCUCAAAUUCUCUCCGAUGGAUGUCUUCAAUCAAAUUAUGUUGUAGUAGUGAUCCAGAUCGAGACCUAAUUGAUGUCUUCAAUAUACAGAUCCAGGCCACAUCCAGAUCCAGGCCACAUCCAGAUCCAGGCCACAUCCAGAUCCACAGAGGUUUGUUAGAUCUCCUCUAUUAUAUUGCAUUAAUGCAAUUCAUAUACUCAAAAAAAUUCAUGUUAUUCUAUGCUCACAUAUGGAGCCAAGCAAUAGAUCUGAUGCAUCCAGAACCGCUAAAGCACGAGCCAAUCGGAAACAUAUUGUGUCUUCCAAGAGGAUGAAUGCUGGUAUGACGCAAUGCACUCCAAAGUCAUGUGAAAAUACUCCAUCAUCCAGUAGAAGUCCUUUCUCAAAUGUCACCAACAAUCUAUGUAAUCCUAUUAGCUAUUCGGAGUCUCCAUUGAUGUUGACCGGUGCUAUACAAAACAACAAAGUUACUAACAGAUUGGGUGAUUCAAUCCACCGUAGGAGAAAUGAUACACCAGGAACUGAAUCAUCCAUGAUCCAUUCUAAUCAAUUUUUAGUUACUGGUACCUUACCUUUCUAGGUGUAGGAAUUCUCAUGGAUUUCUUCAAUCAAUUCAUGUAGUAGUGAUGCAGAUCAAGACCUAAUUGAUGUGUUUUGCCCCCUUCUCUCAAAUUCUCUCCGAUGGAUAUCUUCAAUCAAAUUAUGUUGUAGUAGUGAUCCAGAUCGAGACCUAAUUGGUAUGCUUCUUCUUACCUUCAUCUCUGGAUUGAUUGUUGUUGUUUCUCUGCCAGAUUGAGGAUGGUUAUUUUCAGAUGAUGAUGAAGAUAUGGAGUAAAUUGACUUCAUCAAUCCUUACAAGACUAUAGCUAGAUAUCUACUCAUCGAGAGAUAUUUCUCAUGCUCUAUCAACAAGUAAGGAUUUCACAAGAGUCUAAUUCUUUUGAAGUAUGGUGCAAAAUCACCAUUGAAAUGUGAUUUGUUGGGAAUUUGUUACGAAGAUGUAUGGUCUCUUCACACGUCCUCCGACGUUCCGAUGAAGAUGAGGAUCAUGUUGCUAAGUCGCAGGUUAUAAGUGCGCAUGGUCCUUUAGUGGUGGUUGCUGGUACUGUAGGACUCAGCCAAUAUGAUGUUGUUGUUGUUGUCGCGUCUGAAACUAUGACAGUGGGGUCUUUUGGUAUCGUUCUUUGCGUGUCGUUUCGUCCAUUGUUUUCUAGGUUCAAUGGCAAUGACUAUUGCUCUAGUCUUCUUGUUUGGUAUGCUCGUUUGACCGAAUCAAAGCGUGCAUGUGCUCCUUCGACGGUUGAGGUGACUGCUAUGCUGCAGAAGUUAGUCAUGAUGUUGUUGAUGUCGCGCCUGAAACUAUGGUUUGAGACUAUGACAAUGGGGUGUCUUUGGGUGUCGUUCGUUGUGUGCCAUUUCAACAAUUGUUUUACGGGUUGUGAUGGCAAUGUCUUUUGCUCUAAUAUCGUUGUUUGGUAUGUUCUUCUGAGAAAAUUAGAGCGUGCACGUGGUCCUCCGGUACAUGAUGUUGUUGUUGUUGCUGCGCCAGAAACUAUGGUAUGAAACUAUGACAAUGGAGGUCAUGUUGAAUGGAUUUGUGUUAUUUUUUGUUGUUUUUUCAUUGGAUGGAUCGUUGUUGUCU